UAACCGCUUGCGCGAGUACGCGAUGCACACAGAAGGCCGCGUUGUGUGUAGUGCCGCCGGACCGGAGGUGGCAAAAAAGCCUUUUCUUUUCUCGCGUCCACCUCCUCCUCUGGUCACUGCGUCGCUUACUGCCGCUGGGUGCCGGAGCGUAAAUUUGGAAACAGAUCGCAAUCAAAGGGGGCUCCCCUCACGAUAGCGAGAAGGGCUGAAAGGCCAGAAAAUUAGCAGGCAAACUGUAGCCGCUGAAGCUAUGGUGCCGCUGACUCCCGGUUCCAUCAAUGCUUUUUGUAAAAUUGGCCAGAGACAGAUGGCAGUAUACUCGACAAACCUGCGCCAAGGAAGCCUUCAUUGGUCCAUGACUUACGCAUAACGUUGCAGCGAUCGUGUAUAGGUUUGCGCAGCAACACAGUAAACUUCAGUUUCGCGCAAAUGAGGGGCUCUUUUAAUAGUGAGGUGCUCGCGUGCGUGUGGCCGACGGCCGAGUCUGACGUCAACAGCAUCGGGACGUUUCGGAUGCCCGAAAAGUGCCGAGCCGCGACGGAAGCAAGAACACCAAGAGACUCAAGAGGAAGGAAGCAUCCGAGUGAACAUUCAACGCCGGCUGCACCGCAAUGGCACAGAAUCAUAAACGGAACGGUACGGCGUGCUACCCACGCUGGCGGCCAAAAGCGGGGCAAGGUCAGGUCGCAAGGUCCCUCCACCCUUCGCCAUCUGAAGGAGUCGUUUUUCAGGAAGUAACGACUCGGCGUGUAAUCGGGUGCGAGUUGCUGCCGAGAUAAAAACGUGGGCUGCCUCACGCCAGCUGCCUUGAUAACGUCCCCCGUGUAACGAUGGCGAAGUUAGAAAUUGUAUUAUUGGAGCAAGACCAAUACUUCACGUACGUGGGUAAAAUGAACAAGUGAAAGGUGUUCACGUUA